CUUCUGUGUAGUCUAAAAUUAUUUCAUCAACUUGUGUUUGUAAGUAUGGGCUUUGACAGUGGUGCUGUAAAAAGAAAAUUACACCCCGAAGUGCCGUGUAAAAAGCCAUUGUGUAUGGCCCUUUGUGAUCUGGAGGAAAUAGUCCCCUUUCCACACUCCCAUCUAGUUGGGGUACUCACUCAAUAGCCUGCAUGGCGUCCUUUCUACACCCCACUUACCUGUUCUCGUAUCUGAAGAAAUUUAGUAGUUUUGACCUCUCUUUCACAUCAGAUCGGUAACAGCCCAGCAUGAAAAACAAACGUGAAGUUCCAUAAAAAUGCAACCCACUAAAGUAAGUUGGUGACUGUGUAUAAGGGACAUGUGGCAGAUGUGACAUGGGCAGCGUGUCCUUGGGCGUAUCUCUUCUUUGCUAAAAGUGUCAGAAGCAGAAGAGGUAGGUGAUGGUUUCCAAAGAGUGGCUUAACUAGAAUCUAAGAUGAUAGAGGUCAUUUAAUGUGUUCUCCUAAUUUUACAAAUGAGAAAACUGAAGUCUGGUGAGGCAAAGUGACUUGUCUAAAACUAUAAGCAGUAAAGCUUGAUUUAGGGCUGGAAUCUCAUUUUUCAUAUCUGCUGUUCUUUUCUCUAUUUGGGGGAAAGCCACAUCACCAAGUAGAGCAUAAAUAUGGUGGCCCUGAUUCCAGGGAAAUGAGCUAGGCCAUUAUUAUAUCAUCUCCAAAUGCCCUGUCUUAUCCGUCCAAGGUGCAAGAUGCCUUUUUUGACCCACUGAUUGGUAGGAGACAUGUCCA
rnacentral:lncRNA from 1 species